rnacentral:rRNA from 1 species
AGUGCAGGCGGUUAUUUAAGUCUGAUGUGAAAGCCUUCGGCUUAACCGGAGAAGGGCAUCGGAAACUGGGAAACUUGAGUGCAGAAGAGGACAGUGGAACUCCAUGUGUAGCGGUGAAAUGCGUAGAUAUAUGGAAGAACACCAGUGGCGAAGGCGGCUGUCUGGUCUGUAACUGACGCUGAGGCUCGAAAGCAUGGGUGGCAAACA